rnacentral:rRNA from 1 species
UACGGAGGGUGCGAACGUUAAUCGGAAUCACUGGGCGUAAAGCGCGCGUAGGCGGUUCGUUAAGUGGGAUGUGAAAUCCCCGGGCUUAACCUGGGAAUUGCAUUUCAAACUGGCCGACUAGAGUACGGUAGAGGGAGGUAGAAUUUCCUGUGUAGCGGUGAAAUUCGUAGAUAUCAGGAGGAACACCGGUGGCGAAGGCGGGUCUCUGGGCCGGAUACUGACGCUGAGGAGCGAAAGCCAGGGGAGCAAACGGG